GACGAACCUGACGAACGUUAUCCGGAAUUAUUGGGCGUAAAGCGCGCGCAGGCGGUCCUUUAAGUCUGAUGUGAAAGCCCACGGCUCAACCGUGGAGGGUCAUUGGAAACUGGAGGACUUGAGUACAGAAGAGGAAAGUGGAAUUCCACGUGUAGCGGUGAAAUGCGUAGAGAUGUGGAGGAACACCAGUGGCGAAGGCGACUUUCUGGUCUGUAACUGACGCUGAGGCGCGAAAGCGUGGGGAGCAAACAGG
rnacentral:misc_RNA from 1 species